CUCGUACUCUCUCCGUCCAACAAAAGAUGUCUCAAGUUUGUUAAAAUUUUAAUGUAUCUAGACAUGACUUAGUGUAUAGAUUCAUUCAAAUUUAGUCAAAAUUGAGGCAUUCUUGUUGGACAGAGGAACUACAAU
rfam:Brachypodium distachyon strain Bd21 chromosome 1, whole genome shotgun sequence.